UCUAAGCCAUACUACCCUGAACAUGCCCAAUCUCCUCUGAUCUCAGAAGCCAAGCAGGGUUGGGUCUGGUUAGUACUUGGAUGGGAAGGAGAGUAUCAAGGAACAGAA
rnacentral:rRNA from 1 species